CCCUUGAAUUAAAAAUUGAGCUACCUUCUCUCAUUUUGUGACAAAUAGCAAAAUUUGUGCAAGUAGUUUUCUUCUUUGAAUGCGAAGUAUCACUGCUUUAAAUGCCUCAAAACGGAAUUAUAUUCUGCAAGAAAAUUUAAACACUAUGAAAAACUCUGAAAAUAUUAAACAACAAAUGCGACCUUUCUAGCAGGCAUCCUGUACUCCAAUUCCAUACAGCACUAUUUUCCAAUUGACAGCCUCAUCAAAGACUUCUUUGCAGUUUCCAUGUAUCCAGAAAUGUAUGCUGACUUCCAACACCUUCCUUCAGAAAAUCUUUCUUCCGAAUUUCUGAAGAUCUCUUAGACCAGAUUUCACUUGCCUUAUAUGAUCUAACAUACAAGCUGGUCUCGGAUAUCAAUGCUUAUUUCCAGUGUGGCUCCCUCUCCGAAAUUUGAGAAUAACCACUGUCAUCGGUAGGCCAAAGGAUCUGAAUCAACUUGAAAUCUAGACAAAGGAAGAAUUUUCUGAAAACAGCUGAGAUUAUCUACAAUUCGCAUCCAAUUGUUUCCGACAUUCCAGGUUCUUAC